GCACCGGUGGCGCAACUGGAUAGCGCAUCUGACUUCGGAUCAGAGGGUUGGGGGUUCGAAUCCCUCCCGGUGUACCA
rnacentral:tRNA from 4 species